rnacentral:lncRNA from 1 species
CAGAUCCUGAUCCACCAUCAGAUAUACAAAUAUUUGGACAAGAAGAAAGUACAGUCUACUUUUCUUGGAAAGUACCGAGAGGAGGAUUUGAUAUGUUUCAGCUUUCAUAUUGUCUGAUGAAUAAUGAAAAGCUGCUUACCAGAACUAUUUAUGACAGCAGAGCUGUAGUGAAAAAUCUGACCCCUGGGACAGAAUACAUUUUUCAGUUAAGGACAAUUAAGGGCUUGGAUUCCUCUGUGGCUGUGGAGAAAAAAGUCAUCACAAAACCUGCUGGGAUAUGUGGUCUGACAUUAAAAAUGGUGAAUACUUCCUCUGCAACUGUAAUGUGGAAUCCAACCAAGACUGACUUCACGUCUUAUAAAGCAUCUUUAUCAAACAACACCUUCAUUAAAAAGUUCAGAAUUCCAGGAACAAUGACUGACUUCAGUGUUACAGACCUGGCUGCUGGGGGCAUUUAUAAUUUCACACUGAAAAGACUAAAAGGAAAUAUUGAAGGAGCUUCUGCUUUCCUUGAAUUUGUAACAGGUCAGUGUGGUUUCCUGAUCCUC